AUGGCUCUUCGAUAUCAAGGAUGUAGAGUCUGGCCUGCCCGGUGAAUAAAAUUAAACGGCCGCGGUACUCUGACCGUGCGAAGGUAGCAUAAUCAUUUGUCUUAUAAUUGAAGUCUGGAAUGAAUGGUUUAACAAGGGUAAGACUGUCUCUAACUCUUCGUUAAAACUUUAUUAUUAGGUUAAAAGGCCUAAGUAUAAUUAGAAGACGAGAAGACCCUGUCGAACUUUAGGAAAAUAAAAAUAAUUCUUAACAUAAAUGAAAUCAGAAUAUAUUAAAAACUUUGGUUGGGGCGACCCAGGAACAAAAAAAGCUUCCUUCACAUAGAUGAAUGAAUUGAUCAUGAGCCACUAAGAGUGAUUAAAAGAAUUAGUUACCGCAGGGAUAACAGCAUUAUCUUUCUUGAGAGCUCAUAUCGAAAGGGAGGUUUGUGACCUCGAUGUUGGACCAGGGUUUCCUAAAGAUGUAGAAGUCUUUAAAGGUUGGUCUGUUCGACCAUUAAAAUCCUACGUGAUCUGAGUUCAGACCGG
rnacentral:rRNA from 1 species